UGUUGAGGAAUGUGACAAAGAGCAAGACAAUGGCGGCCACAUCCAAGAAGUUGUUGAAGUUAGUGGUGAGAAUGAUGAUAAUAGUCAUGGCGAACUUGUUAACAACGUUUCCGACGAAUAUGAUGUUGGCCAUGGACAAAGAACUGAUAAUGUUAAGAAUGGUUCUGAAAAUGGUGAUGUUCCCGGUGAUAGAGAAGAUGUUGUAAUAAUGGUGGCGAUGAUGAUGGUAAUUCUGGGAAUGUAUUUUGUGGACGAGACGGAACAGUUAAUGAAGGUGACGGACACCUUGUAACAGAAAACGCCGUGCCUAAAAAAGUUGAUAAAGAACACAGGAAGGGAAGAAGUAACAACAAAAGAAAAAGAAAAGAGGCAAAGUCCAGUGACAGAGAAAGUGUGUCUUGUGCAAAGGAAAGAGCUAGUCAUUUGACAUCCUAUGACAAAUGUAAAGCCUUUCUUUGUCAAGAACCAUCUUCCAAAGAUAAUGGAAUGGUGGAUUGGGUGUUGUGUGAUGUUUGUCAACAAUGGUACCAUUGGGAUUGCGUUGGCAUUACGACGAAGCCGAAAGGAAAAUUUGAUUGCGGAUGCAAUGUAUCUUACUUUACUCAUGGAUCUGCGAAAACAUUUGACAUAAAUAUAAAGGGAAAUCGCUCAUUCAGAGGAUUAAA